AACAUCAAUCCCCCUCGGGUUUCUGAUCUGGGGUGGACUUGGACUUGGGUGUCUGCCGUCUCCUCGGCUUGCCUCAAAUGACUUAGUGGGAUAAGCACCCACGGCCUGACGUGAUAAGUUUCGUCUGGGCCAGGUGUGACGUCUGCUCACAACCCGUGCUCAUGCACAAUCUCUUCUGACU
rnacentral:misc_RNA from 1 species